rnacentral:rRNA from 1 species
UACGUAGGGUGCAAGCGUUAAUCGGAAUUACUGGGCGUAAAGCGUGCGCAGGCGGCUUUGCAAGACAGAUGUGAAAUCCCCGGGCUCAACCUGGAAACUGCAUUUGUGACUGCACGGCUGGAGUGCGGCAGAGGGGGAUGGAAUUCCGCGUGUAGCAGUGAAAUGCGUAGAUAUGCGGAGGAACACCGAUGGCGAAGGCAAUCCCCUGGGCCUGCACUGACGCUCAUGCACGAAAGCGUGGGGAGCAAACAGG